UACGAAGGGGGCUAGCGUUGCUCGGAUUGACUGGGCGUAAAGGGCGCGUAGGCGGAUAGUACAGUCAGGCGUGAAAUUCCUGGGCUCAACCUGGGGGCUGCGUUUGAUACGUAUUGUCUGGAGUUCGGAAGAGGGUCGUGGAAUUCCCAGUGUAGAGGUGAAAUUCGUAGAUAUUGGGAAGAACACCGGUGGCGAAGGCGGCGACCUGGUCCGAUACUGACGCUGAGGAGCGAAAGCGUGGGGAGCAAACAGG
rnacentral:rRNA from 1 species